rnacentral:misc_RNA from 1 species
AACUUUAAUAGGCUGCCCAAACAGGUGCCUUCCAUUUUGAGUAACUAUAGCAAGUUCAGCAGACCUACGGUCAUAAUAAUGAACAAAGCCAUAAGAUGACUUGUCCUUCCUUACAAGUUUGCACCCUUCAACCAGACCAGUACAUGAAAAAAGUUCAUGAAGAAGAGUUUCAGACACCUGGGGGUGAAUAUUCCCAAUAUACACGCUGCGGCAUGUACUUGGAUCAAACCCAGGAGGUAGAUUUCCACUUGGUAUCUGAGGAGCAGCUAUAAGGCCAGGGUGAUAGAGUGACUGUUGUUGAAGAAGAGCUUGCUGCAUCAAGGCUUGUUGUUGUUCUUGUUUUAGCCUAUGAUUCAGCAUUUUCUCAACUACUACUCCGAGAUCGGAGAAAUAAUUACCGGCGUGAUUGGAUUUCCUGUGUCCUCGCGGUGAUAUAGAAG